rnacentral:rRNA from 1 species
AGCUCAAAUUUAUAAUCUGGCACCUUCGGUGUCCGAGUUGUAAUCUCUAGAAGUGUUUUCCGCGUUGGACCGCACACAAGUCUGUUGGAAUACAGCGGCACAGUGGUGAUACCCCCGUACACGGUGCGGACGCCCAGCGCUUUGUGAUACACUUUCAAUGAGUCGAGUUGUUUGGGAAUGCAGCUCAAAUUGGGUGGUAAAUUCCAUCUAAAGCUAAAUAUUGGCGAGAGACCGAUAGCGAACAAGUACCGUGAGGGAAAGAUGAAAAGCACUUUGGAAAGAGAGUUAACAGUACGUGAAAUUGUUGGAAGGGAAACGCUUGAAGUCAGACUUGCUUGCCGGAGCUUGCUUCGGUUUGCAGGCCAGCAUCAGUUUUCCGGGGUGGAUAAUGGUGGUUUGAAGGUAGCAGCCUCGGCUGUGUUAUAGCUUUCCACUGGAUACAUCCUGGGGGACUGAGGAACGCAGCGUGCUUUUUGCGAAGGUUUCGACCUUUUCACGCUUAGGAUGCUGGUGUAAUGACUUUAAACGACCCGUCUUGAAACACGGACCAAGGAGUCUAACAUGCUCGCGAGUAUUUGGGUGUCAAACCCGGAUGCGCAAUGAAAGUGAAUGUAGGUGGGAACCGCAAGGUGCACCAUCGACCGAUCUGGAUCUUUUGAGAUGGAUUUGAGUAAGAGCGCGUAUGUUGGGACCCGAAAGAUGGUGAACUAUGCCUGAAUAGGGCGAAGCCAGAGGAAACUCUGGUGGAGGCUCGUAGCGGCUCUGACGUGCAAAUC